rnacentral:rRNA from 1 species
AACGAACGCUGGCGGCAUGCCUAACACAUGCCAGUCGAACGAGACCUUCGGGUCUAGUGGCGCACGGGUGCGUAACGCGUGGGAACCUGCCCUUAGGUUCGGAAUAACUCCCCGAAAGGGGUGCUAAUACCGGAUAAUGUCUUCGGACCAAAGAUUUAUCGCCUUUGGAUGGGCCCGCGUUGGAUUAGCUAGUUGGUAGGGUAAAAGCCUACCAAGGCGACGAUCCAUAGCUGGUCUGAGAGGAUGAUCAGCCACACUGGGACUGAGACACGGCCCAGACUCCUACGGGAGGGAGCAGUGGGGAAUAUUGGACAAUGGGCGAAAGCCUGAUCCAGCAAUGCCGCGUGAGUGAUGAAGGCCUUAGGGUUGUAAAGCUCUUUUACCCGGGAUGAUAAUGACAGUACCGGGAGAAUAAGCUCCGGCUAACUCCGUG